rnacentral:tRNA from 1 species
GUGGAUAUAGCUCAGCGGUAGAGCACAUGCUUAGCUUGUGCGAGGUCCUGGGUUCAAUCCCCAGUACCUCCA